rnacentral:tRNA from 2 species
GGGCGUAUAGCUCAGCGGGAGAGCGCCUCGUUGACAUCGAGGAGGUCCCUGGUUCAAUCCCAGGUACGCCCACCA